rnacentral:rRNA from 1 species
AGUGAACGCUGGCGGUAGGCCUAACACAUGCAAGUCGAACGGCAGCACAGUAAGAGCUUGCUCUUACGGGUGGCGAGUGGCGGACGGGUGAGGAAUACAUCGGAAUCUACUUUUUCGUGGGGGAUAAUGUAGGGAAACUUACGCUAAUACCGCAUACGACCUACGGGUGAAAGCAGGGGAUCUUCGGACCUUGCGCGAUUGAAUGAGCCGAUGUCGGAUUAGCUAGUUGGCGGGGUAAAGGCCCACCAAGGCGACGAUCCGUAGCUGGUCUGAGAGGAUGAUCAGCCACACUGGAACUGAGACACGGUCCAGACUCCUACGGGAGGCAGCAGUGGGGAAUAUUGGACAAUGGGCGAAAGCCUGAUCCAGCCAUACCGCGUGGGUGAAGAAGGCCUUCGGGUUGUAAAGCCCUUUUGUUGGGAAAGAAAAGCAGCAGGUUAAUACCCCGCUGUUCUGACGGUACCCAAAGAAUAAGCACCGGCUAACUUCGUG